GUCUAGGACCUCUGGGUGGUCGCGCUGUUUCCCGGCCAAUGCACCAAAUGAAAGAUUCUCGAGGGAAGACCCUCACUCAGACACUCAAGUCCCGGGACAGCCGCGUACCCAAGAAGACACUGAGACCA
rnacentral:pre_miRNA from 7 species